rnacentral:rRNA from 1 species
UACGAAGGGGACUAGCGUUGUUCGGAAUCACUGGGCGUAAAGCGCACGUAGGCGGAUGUGUCAGUCAGGGGUGAAAUCCCGGGGCUCAACCUCGGAACUGCCUUUGAUACAGCACGUCUCGAGUCCGGAAGAGGUGGGUGGAAUUCCUAGUGUAGAGGUGAAAUUCGCAGAUAUCAGGAGGAACACCGGUGGCGAAGGCGGGUCUCUGGGCCGUAACUGACG